CUAACCCAAGCUGGUUUCCAGACCCAGAGCCCACCCAGGGAAGGGGGACCAGGGUCGCACAGAAGCUCCUGCAAGGACAGCGUGAGCCUCGGUGACACAGGCAUGAAGGUCAGGGCAUGGCAAGACCCUCCCCAGAGCCCUCCUGGGUGCUGAUGCCUCAGCCCCGGUGGGUGGAGGCCACCCUGGGCCAGCUCCACUGCAGCUCCUCCCCCUCCUGGGGCACGGGGGGCGCGCCCCACACCAUGACGGGGCCGGGCAGACAGGGAGAGAGGGCUGGACGGAGCACUCGGCCCUGCCCUGCCCGGGCUCCAGGGGACCAGGCCGGACACAGGAGGCACAGUGUUUGCAGGGGAGCUUGGUCCAUGUAAGACACAAUCAUAGCCUGCCAUGGAGACG